rnacentral:rRNA from 1 species
CCUACGGGGGGCAGCAGUGGGGAAUAUUGGGCAAUGGGCGCAAGCCUGACCCAGCAAUGCCGCGUGAAGGAAGAAGGCUUUCGGGUUGUAAACUUCUUUGACAGGGGAAGAGCAGAAGACGGUACCCUGAAAACAAGCCACGGCUAACUACGUGCCAGCAGCCGCGGUAAUACGUAGGUGGCAAGCGUUGUCCGGAUUUACUGGGUGUAAAGGGUGUGUAGGCGGGAAGGCAAGUCAGAUGUGAAAUCUGGAGGCUCAACCUCCUAAUUGCCUUUGAAACUGUUUUUCUUGAGUACUGGAGAGGCAGACGGAAUUCCUGGUGUAGCGGUGAAAUGCGUAGAUAUAAGGAAGAACACCAGUGGCGAAGGCGGAUGACUGGACGGCAACUGACGGUGAGGCGCGAAAGCGUGGGGAGCAAACAGGAUUAGAUACCCUUGUAGUC